CUGGGCCUGGGCCUGCAGCAGGUGGAGACAGAUAACCAGACCAAAAGGCAAGGGGAUUUAAAAUGUUACAUUUGUGAAGGUGAGAAUAGCUUUGACUGUGCAACACAGCAGACUUGUGGGGAAGCUCCAAAGUAUUGUGCUCUCACUGUCAUAAGUUUCACUAAGUUGCUCAAUUGCCUGAGCUGUGGGCUGUCACUGAACUCGUGAUCCUCCUGCCUUAACCUCCCAGAGUGCUGGAAUUACAUGCACACCACCAUACUGGUCUUCGAGUGUGUUCUUGAAAGAAUGUGCAUGCCUUUAAAAGUCUGCAGACCAGCUGCUCUAUUAUCUGCAAUUCACCAGACAGAUGUUGGGUGCACAAAGAGUGCUGAAAGGGAAAUCAGAAAAAUCCACAACAUUUAUUAGUAUUUAUUAGGGCUUGAGAAUUCAAAUUCAGUUUGCCAGUCACUCCCCCAGGAUCUCUUGAGUACCAGAAUGUUUGUGUGAUGCUGGGACAGUGGUUAGGGCUCAGUUCAGCCAACAUAGAUUUUAUUCCUUAGCAUGGAAAAAUGAUUUGGACAAUGAAAAGUAAGAUGGUAAAGUACUAAGAUCAGCCUCUCGUCCACAGUCAAGCAGCCUUCUUACCAUCCAGCCCUGGGGAAUGCUAGAAUGGUCAGCAGGCCUUUGCCCAAAGGGUCUAUAUGUGGUCACAAGGGCUUGAUCCACCCCUAUGUUUAAAAACUGAGGGACAAGCAGGAAUAUGUUCCCAAGCAGAGAGCUGUAUCCCUAGUGCAUGUGGCUAAAACAGGCUGGAGCAUCUCUGCACACAAGGCAGCCCCCUUCCCGAAGCACCCUCUUCCUCCUGAGUGAUGGCAUCUGCCUCCAACUCCAUGCCCUCAUUGGGCCCCCAAGGGGUGUGGGUUUGAUGGGCAGACAGGAGGGCACUAGUGCCAAGGCUUUAUACUCAUACAGUUUCCUUUUCUCCUUUUCUUUCC